UGCUGUGGUCUGUUGGUGUUUGUUUGUUUGUUUGUUUAUGUGUGACGAAAAUGUCAGUGGGAACGGAACUCUGAGAACACACACACACACACACACACACACACACACACACACACACACACACACAUCUAUAGAAAUAAUGGAAAUAGGGAGGUGGUCUCCAGUCCAUUCUCCUCCUCCUGCUUCUCCUCUUCCUCCUCCUCCUCCUCCUCCGUCCCAGGCCACAAAGAAUACUACAUAUUGACAGUUCGGAUUGGGAAGAUGUGUAGGAGGGUGAAGGAGGAAUAAGGUAGGAAAGAUGUCGUUGUUGUUGUUGUUGUUGGUGGUGGUGGUGGUGGUGGUGGAGGUGGGAAGAUGGGAAUAGGUGAAUAGGAAGGAAGGGGAGUCGCAAACCUAUGGAGAAUUUCAAUAUGUAAAAGGUUAUGGAACUGUACGAAGAGCUUUUGAGGUAAUGAUAAUAAUAGAAGAGAAGAAGGAGGAGGAGGAAAAUGCAAGGGAGAAAGAAAAAAAAGAAGAAGAAAAAAGAAAAAGAAGAAGGAAAAUGAAAAAGAGAAAGAGGAAAAAGAAGGGGAAGAAGAAGAAAAAAAAGAAAAAAAAAGGAAAAUGAAAAAGAGAAAGAAGAGGAAGAAGAAAGAGAAAAAAACUACCAUACGAGCUUUCAAAAUAAUAACAGUAGCGGAAAAGAAGAACAAGAACGAGAACAAGAAGGAAAAAAAGGAGAAAAACAAAACGAAAAGAGAGAAAGAAAAAGUACACGAAAUGAAACGAAAAAGAAAAAAAAGAGGAAAAUAAAACCAAAAAAUUCAAAACUAAAAAAAACGGAAAAAAAACGAGAGCUCCAGUAAUGAUGAUGAAGGGGAAGGUAGAGAAGAAGAGGAGGUAGGUAGGAAGGUGGAAAGAAACCCCCCCUCCCCCCCUUCCCCCUCCCCCUAGCGCCACCCUGCUAUUCUUCACUCGACAACUGUGCCGUGAAGAGCGACUUGGCCAGGAUUCAGGAGGAGGAGGAGGAGGAGGAGGAGGAGGAAGAGGAAAAGAGGAAGGAGGUCACACUGGAAGAAGGAGGAGGAGGGAAGGAAGAAUGGGAAAAGAGGGGGUGUUUCUGAUAGUGGGGGAAGAGGAAGAGGAGGUGGAGGUCACACUGAAAGGAGGAGGAGGAGGGGAGGAAGAAGGGGAAAAUAAGAGAGGUGCUUCUGAUUGUAAAAAUGGAGAAGAGGUGAAAGGAGGUGGAAGGUAGGUGAGUGGAGGUGGAGGAGGAGGAAGAAGAGGGGGAGGUCACGCUGGAAGGAGGAGGAGGGGAGGAAGAAGGGGAAAAUAAGGGACGUGCUUCUGAUUGUAAAAAUGGAGAAGAGGCGAGAGGAGGUGGAGGAGGAGUUAGAAGAGGGGGAGGUCACACUGGAAGGAGGAAGAGGAAGGGAGGAAGACGGGGAAGAGAGGGGAGGUGCUUCUUAGAAUGGGGGAGAAGAGGAGGAGGAGGAGGAGGCGGCUGAGGAACUAAUUCUUUGGAGGAGGAUGAAGGGAAGAAGAAGAAGAAGAAGAAGAAAAAAAAAAGAUAGGAGAGGAGAGGUACUUUUGGUCGUGAGGAAGGAGCAGGAUCAAGUGUAUAAGAAAAAGGAGGAAGAAGAGGAGGAGGAGGAGAAGGAAGAAAAGAAGAAGAAGGAGGAAGAGGAAGAGAAAAAAAGAUGUUAUUAAUAGUGCAGAAAAAAAAAAAAAGAAUACGUGUUUUUACGGCUGGAUAAAGGAGAGGUAGAGAAGUAGGGAGGAAAGAUUAAUAAGAUGAAGGAGAGAGUAGAUAGACUUUUGAUAGCCGUGAAGGAGAGGGAUAGAUGGCGCUGGUGGUGGUAGUGAAUAAGGGAGAGUGGCUUUUCGUUAAGAGGGAGAGUGGAAAGGGAGAGAGGGAGAGGGAGAAGGGAAAGUUAGAAGGUAAUAAAAAGAGGAAGAGUGGGGAGAGAGAGAGAGAGAGAGAGAGAGAUGCACAAUCAACAGUUUUCGAAGGAGACAUAAUAGGCUCGUGUUGUUAUUCUCUCUCUCUCUCUCUCUCAGGAUAGCGGGUAACGAGAUACUAGAGGAAGAAAAAGAUAAGGAGGAGGAAAAGGAGGAAGAUGAUGAUGAUGAUGAUGAAGAAAAAGAAAAAGAAAAAGAAGAAAACGAAGAAGAGGAGGAGGAGGAGGAGCAGGAAGAAGAUGAUGAUGGUGAAGAAAAAGAAAAAGAAAAAGAAGAAAAUGAAGAAGAGGGGAAGGAGGAGGAGGAACAGGAAAAAGAAGAAGAUGAUGAUGAUGAUGAUGAAAAAGGAAAAGAAAAAGAAGAAAACGAAGAAGAGGAGGAGGAGCAGGAAGAUGAUGAUGAUGAUGAUGAAAAAGGAAAAUAAAAAGAAGAGGAGGAGGAGGAGGAAGAGGUGUGGCUGAGUCAGAUCCUGGAAGCUGUUGGGACUUGGCAGAGAGACUAGUUCGGUGGGCGGCGGUGAAGGCGACGGAGGGAGAAAGAGGAGAUUUUUGGCGUCUCUCACCUCCUCCUCCUCCUCCCCCUCCUCCUCUUUCUCC